GGGAAUCAACGUCAAUAUCGUCAACCUGAUCAGGAAGUAUAGUUGCUUGUCUAGGCUGUAUGUCUUGCGCCGGUAAGUUUGCAUUCCGUUUGCUUCGCAUAAGUAAUCGUCGGUUCUGUCGAGCUAGCCUCGCAUUAUUCACUGGGGAAAGAUAAAAACUUGGAAACUGAGUUUCAAAUGUUCGUGUCCUUCUUAAAAAGCAUCGCAGCAGAUCGUUGUUUACCAGUCGAUAGAUGAACGUCUGAUCUGAAGCUGAGCAUGCUGGCAGGUGCGAUAGGAAUAUAUUGAGAUUGUAGCCAAGGACGGCGCUGAUCCGAUACUGGUGGAAGUUAGAGUACAGGUCAGUUUGUAGUAAAAGCAUUGGAAGAUAUGGAAAAUGAUGGCAUAGCUACGACUAACCAUUUUUCUUUUUUCGGCUUCUCUUUGUUGCAGAGGAUGACUCUGCUGUGGAUAUUGUAGAUAAUACAUGUCUUCUCCGUGAACUAACUUCACUUGCUUUGCGUGCAAGUUCUUCUGGAGUCUUCACCAUUUCUCGAAGUCCAGAUGAUAGAGAGCCAGAAUGAUGGUCACAAUUACAUUCGUAAAGUAAAAACGAAGGGGUCUAUGAGUAACGGCUGCGUGGUUUCAGUUUGAGCGUAUGUGUAAAGACUAAUAUGGGAGGUGGAUAGACACAAUGAAUAUGUUGCAGUUAUAUUAAAGUUGCUGGAAAGAGUCAUCGACGCCUGAGAAAUAGAUCUAAGCAUACUGUGCCUGUGUCGACUGCUAUCACUACAAAUCAGUCUACUUCUUUUGUUUGCUAUUGAACGUUUUGUCAAUUUAUUCAUAGUCUGAGAAUUUCAAAUUUAGACUGCGAUCACUACAAAUCAGUCUACAUCUUUUGUUUGCUAUUGAACGUUUUAUCAAUUUAUUCAUAGUCUG
rnacentral:lncRNA from 1 species